ensembl:snoRNA
AUGCCCGGUGAUUAUAAAAAGACGCGUUAUUCUGAGGAACACAACCUGCUAUCAGUCUCUCCUCUGCUCUCUGCUCUGUCUACAUCUCCACGCUCUCCUGUCCCUCCUCUCUUCCUCUCCUUCAAUCUGGUAGCAGGUCCGCUGACUGCGAUUAUGAGAUAUGAGGGCAU